rnacentral:rRNA from 1 species
AAGAGUUUGAUCAUGGCUCAGAUUGAACGCUGGCGGCAGGCCUAACACAUGCAAGUCGAACGGUAACAGGAAGCAGCUUGCUGCUUUGCUGACGAGUGGCGGACGGGUGAGUAAUGUCUGGGAAACUGCCUGAUGGAGGGGGAUAACUACUGGAAACGGUGGCUAAUACCGCAUAACGUCGCAAGACCAAAGAGGGGGACCUUCGGGCCUCUUGCCAUCAGAUGUGCCCAGAUGGGAUUAGCUAGUUGGUGAGGUAACGGCUCACCAAGGCGACGAUCCCUAGCUGGUCUGAGAGGAUGACCAGCCACACUGGAACUGAGACACGGUCCAGACUCCUACGGGAGGCAGCAGUGGGGAAUAUUGCACAAUGGGCGCAAGCCUGAUGCAGCCAUGCCGCGUGUAUGAAGAAGGCCUUCGGGUUGUAAAGUACUUUCAGCGGGGAGGAAGGUGUUGUGGUUAAUAACCGCAGCAAUUGACGUUACCCGCAGAAGAAGCACCGGCUAACUCCGUGCCAGCAGCCGCGGUAAUACGGAGGGUGCAAGCGUUAAUCGGAAUUACUGGGCGUAAAGCGCACGCAGGCGGUCUGUCAAGUCGGAUGUGAAAUCCCCGGGCUCAACCUGGGAACUGCAUUCGAAACUGGCAGGCUUGAGUCUUGUAGAGGGGGGUAGAAUUCCAGGUGUAGCGGUGAAAUGCGUAGAGAUCUGGAGGAAUACCGGUGGCGAAGGCGGCCCCCUGGACAAAGACUGACGCUCAGGUGCGAAAGCGUGGGGAGCAAACAGGAUUAGAUACCCUGGUAGUCCACGCCGUAAACGAUGUCUACUUGGAGGUUGUGCCCUUGAGGCGUGGCUUCCGGAGCUAACGCGUUAAGUAGACCGCCUGGGGAGUACGGCCGCAAGGUUAAAACUCAAAUGAAUUGACGGGGGCCCGCACAAGCGGUGGAGCAUGUGGUUUAAUUCGAUGCAACGCGAAGAACCUUACCUGGUCUUGACAUCCACAGAAGAAUCCAGAGAUGGAUUUGUGCCUUCGGGAACUGUGAGACAGGUGCUGCAUGGCUGUCGUCAGCUCGUGUUGUGAAAUGUUGGGUUAAGUCCCGCAACGAGCGCAACCCUUAUCCUUUGUUGCCAGCGGUCCGGCCGGGAACUCAAAGGAGACUGCCAGUGAUAAACUGGAGGAAGGUGGGGAUGACGUCAAGUCAUCAUGGCCCUUACGACCAGGGCUACACACGUGCUACAAUGGCGCAUACAAAGAGAAGCGACCUCGCGAGAGCAAGCGGACCUCAUAAAGUGCGUCGUAGUCCGGAUUGGAGUCUGCAACUCGACUCCAUGAAGUCGGAAUCGCUAGUAAUCGUGGAUCAGAAUGCCACGGUGAAUACGUUCCCGGGCCUUGUACACACCGCCCGUCACACCAUGGGAGUGGGUUGCAAAAGAAGUAGGUAGCUUAACCUUCGGGAGGGCGCUUACCACUUUGUGAUUCAUGACUGGGGUGAAGUCGUAACAAGGUAACCGUAGGGGAACCUGCGGUUGGAUCACCUCCUUACCUUAAAGAA